UACGUAGGGUGCAAGCGUUACUCGGAAUUACUGGGCGUAAAGCGUGCGCAGGCGGUUAUGCAAGGCAGAUGUGAAAUCCCCGGGCUCAACCUGGGAACUGCAUUUGUGACUGCAUGGCUAGAGUACGGUAGAGGGGGAUGGAAUUCCGCGUGUAGCAGUGAAAUGCGUAGAGAUGCGGAGGAACACCGAUGGCGAAGGCAGCCCCCUGGGCUAACACUGACGCUCAGGCACGAAAGCGUGGGGAGCAAACAGG
rnacentral:rRNA from 1 species